AGUGAACGCUGGCGGCGUGCUUAACACAUGCAAGUCGAACGAGAACGGGUUAUAGCUUGCUAUAAUUGUCAGCUAAGUGGCGCACGGGUGAGUAAUGUAUAGGUAAUAUGCCUCUUACUAAGGGAUAACAAAUGGAAACGUUUGCUAAUACCUUAUACUCCUUAUUAACAGAAGUUAAUAAGGGAAAGAUUUAUUGGUAAGAGAUUAGCCUGUAUUGUAUCAGUUAGUUGGUGGGGUAAUGGCUUACCAAGACUAUGACACAUAACUGGUUUGAGAGGAUGAUCAGGCACACUGGAACUGAGACACGGUCCAGACUCCUACGGGAAGCAACAGUAGAGAAUAUUGCACAAUGGACGAAAGUCUGAUGCAGCAACGCCGCGUGGAGGAUGACACAUUUCGGUGCGUAAACUCCUUUUAUAUGAGAAGAUAAUGACGGUAUUAUAUGAAUAAGCACCGGCUAACUCCGUGCCAGCAGCCGCAGUAA
rnacentral:rRNA from 1 species